rnacentral:rRNA from 1 species
UUUAUCGGAGAGUUUGAUCCUGGCUCAGGACGAACGCUGGCGGCGUGCCUAAUACAUGCAAGUCGAGCGGACAGAUGGGAGCUUGCUCCCUGAUGUUAGCGGCGGACGGGUGAGUAACACGUGGGUAACCUGCCUGUAAGACUGGGAUAACUCCGGGAAACCGGGGCUAAUACCGGAUGCUUGUUUGAACCGCAUGGUUCAAACAUAAAAGGUGGCUUCGGCUACCACUUACAGAUGGACCCGCGGCGCAUUAGCUAGUUGGUGAGGUAAUGGCUCACCAAGGCAACGAUGCG